GAUCAAAGCUUUUAAUCAGUUUUGAAGACUGGAGCAGUGCAGUUACUUCCUGGGACAAAAUUCAGCCUUUCAAGUCCCCCCCCCCAUAUGGACAAGCCUGCAGUGCUGGUACCACAAAACAGCAAUGCCUUGCUUCUGUAUGGCAAGAUGUCCUGCUCUGCAACCUCCCGUUUUAAGGGCUGCAUACUGCAGGAAAGACUCACACAUGGCUUCAUGGCCUGUUAAAUCAGCUAUGCCAUCUGGAUUUCUCCUUUGAAACUUUCUGUCCAGAGCCCUUAGUGUACCUCAGGACACCGCAGUGAUAUGUCUCCCAGAACCACAGAAAUUGCCUUCUUGCCUCUUCUCUGCCUGAACCCUGUGUAACAACUCAGGAUAUUGGAAGAUUUAAUCCUGAGCAAACCACCAUGACUCAUUCAGGCUCCUACUUAGGCUAACUAUAUGUCUGCAUUAAAGAUUC